GCCUCCCGAGUAGCUGGGACUACAGGCGCCCGCCACCACGCCCUGCUAAUUUUUUGUAUUUUUAGGAGAAACAGGGUUUCACCAUGUUAGCCAGGAUGGUCUUGAUCUCCUGACCUCGUGAUCUGCCCGCCUCGGCUUCUCAAAGUGCUGGGAUUAUAGGCGUGAGCCACCGAGCCCGGCCAGAACUACUACAAUUUUUUUAGGGUCAUUUGGUCCUCUCUCUCAAAAGUGCGCUUACCCUCUAUCCAGGAAUUUCAUUUGUAGGAACCUAUGCUAUGUACAAUUUCACUGAAGUAUUGCUUGUAUUAGAAAAAAAGUAUGGAUGAUAGGCAGGUUGAAUAAAUGUUAAUGUUUUCAUGUAGCUAUGUAUAGGAAUGCCGCUAUGGAAAGACAUCCAGGACACCUUGUUAAGUGAAAAAAGACAUGCCACCAUUAGGGCUUCAUUUCCCUGCAGUCUUCUUUAAAUACCAAAACUGCCCUGGGAAGGAUAAGACAUCAGUUUCUUCAUACUUCAGAGCAAAUGGGAUUGAUUCCCAGGACCUCCUUUCUGUGGACUGGGUUUUUGCCUCCUCACCAAGAGACUGGGCUCCCUGGGCGAGCAGAGGCUGCUGGGUUCAGUAUCUGAACACUUUUGCUAAAGGUCUCUGGAAAGCUCCCUGUGUUAAUUCUCGAUGAGACUACGUCUGUGCCGGCCGCUUCCUGAGCCUCCUUCCAUGUGCAUAGGCCUGCUGCAUGCUGGAGACCUGCGGCACAGCUGCCAAGUGCCCCGUGUGGUUCUGUGAUCUUGGGACAGUCACUUCCUCUCUGUGGUUGUCAGUCUUCUCAUCCCUAAGAUGGAAUAAAAAGGCCUACCUCAUUGGGCUCGUGUGGGUGAGGAGAACUGAAGAGUCUGAGAGCGCGGCACGAGCCAGAGGCUACGGAAAACACUGCCCUCCUACACUCCACCUUGGAGAGACCCAGAAAAGAACAAGCUUCAUUUGUAAAAAAGGAAAACAACUCAGGCAAUGGGGGUGGCUUAAAGGCACUCUACAGUGUGCAGAUGCCUUCCACUUCUUCCAUCUGCCCUGUCUCUCCAAGAACCCCUAUGGCCCCGGUCUCAGAACAGAGCUGAGUGCAGAAAUGAAAAUCUAUGGCUCUGUGUUCCAAAACGAUGAAGAAUUUCAAGAUGGUGGCAGUGGUAAAAUCUUUCUCCAGGAAAAAUCUGUCCUUGGCCCAAUGUGUAAACACUUGCUGAGUAUUGUGAAACCAGCAACUUGUUCACAAUUCUUCUGAAUUUCUUGGGAAAUUUGAAGUGGAGUACCUGUACCAACAUGAAAUGACACGAAUUUAAGUGACGCUCAACAACGAAAAGCAAAAAGAACCAAAGAGGAAGCAACUGAAACAACAUCUGGAUGUAUUUAAAAAUAUACAAUGCCUCCAAAAUCAGGUGUCAUUAAUGAAAAUUCUGAAGAAAUGCCACCGGACAUAGCCAACGCACCUACGCUGUUGUUAUUCAUUUCCUGCUUUUCACAGAAAACAAUUUUGUUGCAUGGAAGAUCGUGAACUUCAAAGGGCAGAGGGGAAACUGUCCCUUGGCCUCUACCCCUCCAAGGCCCCACUUUUUUGUCAACACUCCUUGGACGCAGCAGAAGUAUGAACAUAAUAUGGUCCUGAAUGAGGCUGAGUCUUUGGGCGCAGAAGACCCGGGUUAAUAAAAAUAGGAAGGUAAGAAAAGAAAAGAAAAAUCAAGACACAUCAUAGGACUAAAUUCCUAUUAUUUAUCCACUCAGGAUUGACCACCCCUUUGGGCCAGAUAGUUGUACCCCCAUGUACCAGGUGGGCACAUGAAGACACAAGAAGUGCUGUGAUGGUUCAUUUUGCACGUCACCUUGCGUGGAGUAUGCCAACUCAUUGUUUGGUCAAACACUAGUCUGGACAUGGUGGUAAAGGUAUUUUUUAGAUGAGAUUAACACUUAAAUC
ensembl:lncRNA DRAIC downregulated RNA in cancer, inhibitor of cell invasion and migration